UACGUAGGGGGCGAGCGUUGUCCGGAAUUAUUGGGCGUAAAGAGCGUGUAGGCGGUUCGGUAAGUCUGCCGUGAAAACCCGGGGCUCAACCCCGGGCGUGCGGUGGAUACUGCCGGGCUAGAGGGUGGUAGAGGCGAGUGGAAUUCCCGGUGUAGCGGUGAAAUGCGUAGAGAUCCGGAAGAACACCAGUGGCGAAGGCGGCCUGCUGGGCAGUUGCUGACGCUGAGGCGCGACAGCGUGGGGGAGCAAACAGG
rnacentral:rRNA from 1 species